AAAGUACUCCCUCCAUCCCAAAAUUCUUGUCUUAGAUUUGUCUAGAUACGGAUGUAUCAAGUCACAUUUUAGUAUUAGAUACAUCCAUAUCUAGACAAAUCUAAGACAAGAAAUUUGGGACAGAGGGAGUAGUUG
rfam:Triticum aestivum genome assembly, contig: Triticum_aestivum_CS42_TGACv1_scaffold_364810_4DS